GGAAGUAAAAAGUCGUAACAAGGUUUCCGUAGGUGAACCUGCGGAAGGAUCAUUAUUGUAUAACCGAGGUGCGAGGGCUGUCGCUGACCCGAAAGGUCGUGCACGCCCGAGUGCCCUCACACACAUCCAUCUCACCCCUAUGUGCACCACCGCGUGGGUCCCCCUUUGGCUUGUUCGGAGGGGGGCUUACGUUUUCACACAAACUUUGUAUGCAGUGUAGAAUGUAUUUUUUGUUUUUGCGAUCACGCAAUCAAUACAACUUUCAACAACGGAUCUCUUGGCUCUC
rnacentral:misc_RNA from 1 species